GUCUCUUUGUUAUAUAUAAAUAAAGAGUUGGGCCUGCUCGGUGAAUAAUUUUUUAACAGCUGCGGUAUUUUAACUGUACUAAGGUAGCAUAAUAAUUUGCCUUAUAAUUUGAGGCUAGAAUGAAUGGUUUGACGAAGGUUAAUCUGUCUCUAUCUUAUUUUUUAGAAUUUAAUUUUUAAAGUGAAAAAGCUUGAAUUUUUUAAAGGGACGAGAAGACCCUAAUGAGCUUAUAAUUUUAUUAUUAUUAUUUAAUAUAUUUAAAUAAUAAUAUAUAAAUUUUAAUUGGGGUGAUUAAGGAAUAAAAGAAUUAUAUAAUAACUUCCUUAGAUUAAAUAUAUAUAUAUAAAGUAACCAAUAAUAUAUUGCUUAUAAUAUAGUUACCAUAGGGAUAACAGCGUAAUUUGUUUAGAGAGUUCUUAUUGAAAAACAAGAUUGCGACCUCGAUGUUGGAUUAAAGUAACCUUAAGGUGCAGAAGCUUUAGUAAGGUAAAUCUGUUCGAUUUUUAAUACUUU
rnacentral:rRNA from 1 species